UGGGGAAUCUUCCGCAAUGGACGAAAGUCUGACGGAGCAACGCCGCGUGAGUGAAGAAGGUUUUCGGAUCGUAAAAACUCUGUCUUUUGGGGCGAACGUGAGUAUGGUGAACAAUCAUAGUCAGUGACGGUACCAAAGGAGGAAGCCACGGCUAACUACGUGCCAGCAGCCGCGGUAAUACGUAGGUGGCAAGCGUUGUCCGGAAUUAUUGGGCGUAAAGAGCGCGUAGGCGGGAUAGUCAGUCUGUUGUAAAAGUGCGGGGCUCAACCCCGUGAUCGCAAUGGAAACAGCUAUUCUUGAGUGCAGGAGAGGAAAGGUGGAAUUCCCCAGUGUAGCGGUGAAAUGCGUAGAUAUUGGGAGGAACACCAGUGGCGAAGGCGACUUUCUGGACUGUGUCUGACGCUGAGGCGCGAAAGCCAGGGGA
rnacentral:rRNA from 1 species